rnacentral:rRNA from 1 species
CUGGAGAAGGUCCCAAGGGUCCGGCUGUUCGCCGGUUAAAGCGGCACGCGAGCUGGGUUCAGACCGUCGUGAGACAGGUCGGUCUCUAUCCGUUGUGGGCGUUUGGAAAUUUGAGGGGGUCUCUUUCUAGUACGAGAGGAUCGAAAGGGACAGACCAAUGGUGUGCCAGUUGUUCCGCCAGGGGCAUCGCUGGGUAGCCAAGUCUGGUUCGGAUAAACGCUGAAAGCAUCUAAGUGUGAAGCCGGCCCCAAGAUGAGAUUUCCCACUCUGGUUCGCCAGAGGUAAGACCGCAAGUAGACUACUUGUUUGAUAGGCAGCGUGUGUAAGCGUCGUAAGACGUUCAGCUAAGCUGUACUAAUGGUCGAGGGCUUGACCUG